CUUUGCUAUAUCAUUCUGCAUUCAGUAUGUCCACUGGAAAGCCAUUUUUAGCCAGGAAACUACGACAUUGUUCCGCGCCGAUGACACAGGCGGUGUUCACUUGAUUGACUGUAUCUUUGUCCAAAUGACAACCUAUAGUUUUGAAACCUAGUUAACUAGAUAGCCAACGUGCUGUGCUUUAUGUGAGUAGGUGGAAACCCUUUGUAUGAAGUAAAAUAUUUCAGCUAAACUCGCGCAUAUGCGAGUCGAGUGGAAUUUGGACAUUUAUGCAAGAGCAUGUCGAAGCGCGCUACGCACAUCUCGGUAAAGACUGACUUCAAAGACACCACAUUCAAGUCCUCCAUCCCCGACUUAGUCUGACUGCUGCUCUCUCUGGCUCCACAACAAACCCCCGCCCAGCCAUCUAGAGGUGUGAAUACCCAGCCAGCCUACAGAGAGGAUGGAUGAGCAGAAAGAGACUUGGGACCACAAUCUUGUGUAGAGGGUGUUCUAAAUACUGUAAUUGUAAAUAGUGUGUACAUUUUAUUUUUUUACUUUGUGUGUGGUUUGUGAUGUGUUCACUUAUGACAUUAGAUCAGUGUUGGCUGCUAACUUGGCCCUAAUCUUAAAUAUUUCACUUCUGUGUUUGGAGACAUUGGAUCAGCAUUCUUGUUGCGUCUCCUGUAUGUACUUUUUAUGUAGGGAAGCUAAUGAUUCAUCAUGUAUGACAUUCCUGGCAGUGUGUAAAUUUGUAUUUUUUAUCAGCAUAGCAUUUUUGUAUGUUUUCAAUAGUCAUGUUCUUGAAAAUGUAUAAAUUUACCAAUUAUGCCACAUAGGUACAUUUGGGCAAAUCAUGAGGGACACCUGGGUGACUUCAUAGUAAAUGUUAUGUAGCUUGCUCAUUCUUGAAGUUAUCAGUCUUGUGGACACCAUCUUAAAUCACCUCCAGCUUUCUAGCGGAAUGUGUGGGUUUUCUUUUUCAUGUCAAAGAUGAUGCAACAAAAAAAAAAAACAUAUAUUAUCUUUUACCAGA